rnacentral:rRNA from 1 species
GACGAACGCUGGCGGCGUGCUUAACACAUGCGAGUCGAACGGAAAGGCGCUGAGUUUGUGGGGUGCUCGAGAGGCGAACGGGUGAGUAAAACGUGAGUAAAAUGCCCCUGACAUUGGGAUAUAAUCAGGAAAAAGGGGCGAAAACAGGGGAGAAGAUACUGAAGCACGGGGGGGGAUGGAAAGAUUCGGCGGUAGGGGCUAGAAUAGCGGCUUAUGAGCUGGAUUGGGGGGUAGGGGCUGUCCAAGGCUGUGAAGGGUAGCCGGCCUGGGAGCGUGACCGGCCACAUUGCGCCUGCGAUACGGCCCAGACUCCUACGUUAGGCAGCAGUCGGGAAUAUGGCACAGUGGGCGGAAGCCUGAUGCAGCAGCGCCGCGUUCGUGAUGACGGCUUUCUGGUUGUAAACCGCUUUCGCCUGUGACGAAGCGUGAGUGACGGUAAUGGGUAAAGAAGCACCGGCUAACUACGUG